CGAGCCAAGUCUGACGGAGCACGCCGCGUGAGUGAUGAAGGCCUUCGGGUCGUAAAACUCUGUUGUUAGGGAAGAACAAGUACCGGAGUAACUGCCGGUACCUUGACGGUACCUAACCAGAAAGCCACGGCUAACUACGUGCCAGCAGCCGCGGUAAUACGUAGGUGGCAAGCGUUGUCCGGAAUUAUUGGGCGUAAAGCGCGCGCAGGCGGUUCUUUAAGUCUGAUGUGAAAGCCCCCGGCUCAACCGGGGAGGGUCAUUGGAAACUGGGGAACUUGAGUGCAGAAGAGGAAAGCGGAAUUCCACGUGUAGCGGUGAAAUGCGUAGAGAUGUGGAGGAACACCAGUGGCGAAGGCGGCUUUCUGGUCUGUAACUGACGCUGAGGCGCGAAAGCGUGGGGAGCAAACAGGAUUAGAUUCCCCCGGUAGAUUUUUUUUUUU
rnacentral:rRNA from 1 species